GCUCAGUGAACAUAGACUGGGCUCUGGAAUCAAGCCUCAGCCUGAAGCCCUGCUCUGCAUCCACAAACUGCGUGACUUUGGACAAACUGCCGCACCUCUCAGAUCCUCAGCUUCUCCAUAAGAAAAAAAUCCUACUUUGUGGGGUUGCCCAGAAGACAGACUAAAAUGAGACCUCACCUCCUAAAGGAUCACCGAGGGUCAGAAGCAUCGGAGCCAAGUACAGAUCCCAUUCCAUCUCCCUGUGGCCAGAUCCCACUCAUUUCAGGAAAGGGGGACCGCCUUAUGCGCUGGUACUCACUGUGGCGUCUUCAGAACAGGAGGCGAUCUCAAAAUCAUUAAAAGGAUUCCACUUGAUGUCUAA